UCAAGCCGGCCAGGCCUUCUGGAUUUUGCUUGCCUCUUAGGAUAGAAACUAAGUUCAGCUAGAAAAGGACCUUAGCCUUCAGAGGUUGAGGAACAAACUGUAAAAAUAGAGGUAGCUACUGUAAGUGUAAAGUUACGUGGGCAUCCAAGAAUUCAAAGGGAAAGUGGAGAAUAGACUGAAAAACACUGGAGAAGAAUGAGCAACUUCUGGAUUUCUAAUUGUAAUGCUUGAGUGAGUUUACAAGUGAAGAGGUUUAGGAAACCUGUACCAAGUCAAGAGAGAGCUGACUAGUUGAAAGAAUUCCACAAACAAGCUUCAGCAGCCAUGUCAGAUGUGGGCCAAAGCAUGGGAUGGAAGUUUUGAGGAAUAUGGAAAAACCUGGUAACAUGCUCAGUGGCAGGGCACUUCAGUUUUUUAUCGUUCUUGUGCUGAGAAGGACCAGUACAACUCUCCAGAAAGCAAAGUGAGGUUGCUUCCCUUCUUGACAGGACUGCCCCCUGAGAGAUGAGUCUGAACAGCCAAAGAUAUUUUUAAUAAACCAUUGUUAUCUUGAAACCACUCUUAUUCUGACUGGUUUUUGACAAGAUCUAUUUUUCCCUCCUUUCUCUGUUCUCCUUUCAAACAAACCACUAAAACAAGUAGAGAUUAAUUUAGAAAAAGAAACAGCCACAGUGUCAGGUAAAGACCCUUACAAAGUUUUAAACUUGCAACAUUGAAUGCAGAAGAUACAGAAAAUAUGACGUUUUAGAUAAUGAGAUAUAUACAUCAGUUCAAAGGGGGAGUCCUCCUGGAAGGAGGUUUAUAGUGUGCAGUUAAUUCUCAAUUUCAGUUCUGUCAAUCUGAUAUGACACUUAAGCAAGUUUAGAAAGCCACUAUUCAUUUAUAUAGAAAUGGGUUUUAAUAAGAUAUAUGGUAUGCUUCUCUUGGCUCUUGGAUAGCUUCAAAAAGAGCCCUCUUGGAUAGAUCAAGAAGCCAAUAACCUUUAAGAUCAGACUCAAAAUAAAUCACAUUCAAUUUAAUUCAAUUUUUAUUCAAUGAAAUGAUGUAUAAAAAACUUACAAACUUGCGAACUUAACUAUACACAAAAAAUGAUACUUGAUUUAAAUGUAUACACAGAGCAGAGCUGUGGUUCAUGACUU